GAUGAAGAACGUAGCGAAAUGCGAUAAGUAAUGCGAAUUGCAGAAUUUCCGUGAGUCAUCGAAUCUUUGAACGCACAUUGCGCCCCCUGGUAUUCCGGGGGGCAUGCCUGUCCGAGCGUCAUUACUGCCCUCAAGCGCGGCUUGUGUGUUGGGCCCUCGUCCCCCCCGGGGGACGUGCCCGAAAGGCAGUGGCGGCGCCGUGCCCGGACCUCGAGCGUAUGGGGCUUUGUCACCCGCUCUGGAGACCCGGCCGGCGGCCGUCGGACCACCCCAACCUUUUUAACCGGUUGACCUCGGAUCAGGCAGGGAUACCCGCUGAACUUAAGCAUAUCAAUAAGCGGAGGA
rnacentral:misc_RNA from 1 species